rnacentral:rRNA from 1 species
ACAGAGGGUGCGAGCGUUGUCCGAAGUUACUGGGCGUAAAGCGCGCGUAGGCGGGCCGCUAAGUGGGAGGUGAAAGGCCGGGGCUCAACCCCGCGCAGUGCCUCCCAUACUGGCGGUCUUGAGGGCGGUAGGGAGGGGUGGAAUGGCUGGUGUAGCGGUGAAAUGCGUAGAUAUCAGUCGGAACACCGGUGGCGAAGGCGGCCCCUUGGGCCGUUCCUGACGCUGAGGCGCGAAAGCUGGGGGAGCGAACGGGA